rnacentral:rRNA from 1 species
UACGUAGGGGCAAGCGUUGGUCCGGAUUCAUUGGGCGUAAAGAGCUCGUAGGCGGUUCAGUAAGUCGGGUGUGAAAGCUCCGAGCUCAACUCGGAGAGGCCACCGAUACUGCUGUGACUUGAGUCCAGUAGAGGAGCGUUGGAAUUCCUGGUGUAGGCGGUGAAAUGCGCAGAUAUCAGGAGGAACACCGCAGCGAAGGCGGCGCUCUGGGCUGGAACUGGACGCUGAGGAGCGAAAGCGUGGGUAGCAAACAGG